rnacentral:rRNA from 1 species
CCUACGGAGUGCAGCAGUGGGGAAUAUUGGACAAUGGGCGAAAGCCUGAUCCAGCCAUGCCGCGUGUGUGAAGAAGGCCUUCGGGUUGUAAAGCACUUUCAGUGGGGAAGAAAGCCUUGGGGCUAAUACCCUCGAGGAAGGACAUCACCCACAGAAGAAGCACCGGCUAACUCCGUGCCAGCAGCCGCGGUAAUACGGAGGGUGCGAGCGUUAAUCGGAAUUACUGGGCGUAAAGCGCGCGUAGGCGGUCUGAUAAGCCGGUUGUGAAAGCCCCGGGCUCAACCUGGGAACGGCAUCCGGAACUGUCAGGCUAGAGUGCAGGAGAGGAAGGUAGAAUUCCCGGUGUAGCGGUGAAAUGCGUAGAGAUCGGGAGGAAUACCAGUGGCGAAGGCGGCCUUCUGGACUGACACUGACGCUGAGGUGCGAAAGCGUGGGUAGCAAACAGGAUUAGAUACCCGAGUAGUC